GUGCUANGGUAGCAUAAUCAUUAGUCUUUUAAUUGGGGACUGGUAUGAAUGGCUAAACGAGAAAUCAGCUUUUUUUAUUAUAUAAAUUUAAUUUAUUUUUUUAGUGAAAAAACUAAAAUUUUUCAAAAAGACGAGAAGACCCUAUAGAGUUUUAUGUGGUAAUAAAUUAAAUUAUACUAGAUUUCUACUAAUAGAAUUUUGAUUCACAAUUUGUUGGGGCGACAUUAAGAAAUGACAAACUCUUUUUUUUAAAUACUUUUAUAAAAGUAAUAUUUGAUCCUUUAAAAAAGAUCAUAAGAAAAAAUUACCUUAGGGAUAACAGCGUAAUCUUUUUUGAGAGUUCUAAUCGACAAAAAGGUUUGCGACCUCGAUGUUGGACUAAAAUUUAGGCAUGGUGCAGUAGCUUUGCUUUAGGGUCUGUUCGACCCGUAAUAUUUUACACGAUCUGAGUUCAGACCGGCGUAAGCCAGGUUGGU
rnacentral:rRNA from 1 species